AUUAUACUCCCUCCGUCCCAAAAUUCUUGUCUUAGAUUUGUCUAAAUACGGAUGUAUCAAGUCACGUUUUAGUAUUAGGUACAUCCGUAUCUAGACAAAUCUAAGACAAGAAUUUUGGGACGGAGGGAGUACAAA
rnacentral:pre_miRNA from 1 species